rnacentral:lncRNA from 1 species
GAUAGAUUUGACAUUUGUACGUAUAUCAAUUUGAUAAAAACUAAAAGAAGACAACAUUUAUUUAUUUCAUUAUAUAUUCGAACCAAAUUUAUUCAAAUAUAAACCAUAAUACUUGUAUUUAAAGAUGGCUACAUUUCCUCAACGUAGUCUUGAAGCAAAGUAAUUAAAGCCAGUUUAAUGUAGUCUUCAGCAGAGGUCUACAUUUUAUUUUAAUUAAGCACAAUUUAAACCCACUUUAUAGAUGAAUAAGUAAUUUAUUCUCUUACUGUAGUAGCAAAGCAUCAAGCAAUUACUGUCUCCUUGACUAAAGGCUCCUCGUCUGUUGCACCGGCCAUCACCUCCUCAGUAAUUUUUGUUGUAACAGAUCUUGCCACUGCAAUAUAUGAAGGUAAAUUUUAUUGCAAACAUAAGGGAGCUUUUUGUCUUGCCAACUUAUCAUUAAGUUUAUGAUUACAUACUUGUGCAUCGACAAACCCUUAUGCCAAGUGGUCCUGGGGCGCAUUAUCCUUGUGGCUUACCCUGAAGCGAUUAAGAUUUUUCACAAA